rnacentral:rRNA from 1 species
GACGAACGCUGGCGGCGUGCUUAACACAUGCAAGUCGAACGAAGUGGCGAACGGGUGAGUAACGCGUAAUCAACCUGCCCUUCAGAGGGGAACAACCGUUGGAAACGACUGCUCAUACAGAAUACUGAAGGCGGGGAUUGCGUCUGAUUAGCUAGUUGGAGGGGUAACGGCCAACCAAGGCGAUGAUCAGUAGCCGGUCUGAGAGGAUGAACGGCCACAUUGGGACUGAGACACGGCCCAGACUCCGACGGGAGGCAGCAGGGGGGAAUCUUCCGCAAUGGACGAAAGUCUGACGGAGCAACGCCGCGUGAGUGAUGACGGCCUUCGGGUGGUAAAGCUCUGUUAAUCGGGACGCGGUACCGGAAUAGAAAGCCACGGCUAACUACGUGCCAGCCGCCGCGGUAAUAC